GCACUGCUGAAGAGUCCCAAAAUAGGACGAAACGGCCGUCCAGCGC
rnacentral:hammerhead_ribozyme from 1 species